ACGAGAGUUCGAGUUGAACGAAACAGCUAACCUGCGAAUCGCUAAAGACUGAUGGAGGAGAUCGUACUCGAAACAGGUGGACAACCAAGGCGAGGAUUUACUUACGGGUAGCUGUUAUAAGUAAAAGAACGGUGGAAAGGGAAGGGUGAAGGUAUAGGUAUACCUAGUCGGAAAGCGAGACAGCCGGACAGCCGGUCUACGCUUGCCAACCGUUCCGGCAGCGAACAGGCCAACCUGGACGAGUAUAUGCGAUGCCAUUGGAAGCGUGGCUGAGUUUCUACUUGACUAGCAACGAAUUCAUAGCAAGACGCUCGUGAACGAAGAACAAGAACAGAAAACAGGAAUAAGAAGAGAUGAUAGAGUGGCAGAAAGUCGAGUGUGAAGAAGAAGAAGAAUGUAUCGUACAGGGGCGGGUCUAUGCAAGUCGGAUAAGCGGAAAAGUAAAAGGUGAUUGAAGAGGAGAAGCGAAGAGGAGUGGGGAGGAGUGGGUUGCGAAGAGAAGAGAAGAGAAGAGAAGAGAAGAGGAGAGGAGAGGAAACGAUCGGCGUAUAGGCGAAGAAGAACCGUAGUUGGUAGGAGGUGGAGAAAUCGAGGGAAGGAGUUCGCAGGGUAGAUUCCACGCAGAGAUGCGACUGGAGGAGAGUCGAGGGAGAAUACGAAGGGUGGGAACCGGUGU